rnacentral:lncRNA from 1 species
AUAAUUUGAAAAGGCUAUUAAAAGAUACUUCUUUGGUUUUGCUAUACGCUGUUUCACUUAAAAGUCCUAAUUCCCAAGAACGCACUGACAGCAGUGAGGACUUACUGCGCAUGCGGGAGGCCAGAUUUUCUUAUCUGUGUGAAGCCAGACAUGAAAGAGAUCUGCCAACAUAUAAAACAAAAUCAAAGUCCGUUUUUUGUCUGGAAAAGAUUUUUAAUAAAAAUGUAAUUUAUGUUAGUGUCAUGUGUUUUUUAAGUGAAUAUUUUAAUAUGUUUAAUUUCUAUGUUAGUAAAUAGCAGUAGUAAACAACAGUGAGCAAAACCUUUUAGGUGUCCUCAGUACAUUUUAAGUGUGUGCAAGCGUCCUGUGACCAAGAAGUUUGAGAACUGGUGCCCACCAGGUUCAUCUCACAAGUUCAGUAUUUUAAAUUCCACACAAAAGGUAGCGGAAAUAGCUGAAUUCGCUUCAGCUGCGCAUACAUUUCACGAUUAUUUAAAAGUUCAGAGGGCUAGGCGCGGUGGCUCACACCCAGAAUCCCAGCACUUCGGUAAGCUGAGCCGGGUGGAUCACUUGAGGUCAGGAGUUCCAGACCAGCCUGACCAACAUGCGGAAACCCGUCUCUACUAAAAAUACAAAAUUAGCCGGGCGGGGUGGCGCAUGCCUGUAAUUCCAGCUACUUGGGAGGCUGAGACGGGACAACUGCCUGAACCCGGGCGGCGGAGGUUGCUGUGAGCGGAGACUGCACCAUUGCACUCCAGCCUGGGCAACAAGAGCGAAACUGUCUCAAAAAAAAAAAAUUAGAACGUACUGUCAUGUACCUCGAAAGCGA